rnacentral:rRNA from 1 species
GACGAACGCUGGCGGCGUGCUUAACACAUGCAAGUCGAACGGUAAGGCCUUCGGGUACACGAGUGGCGAACGGGUGAGUAACACGUGGGUGAUCUGCCCUGCACUUUGGGAUAAGCCUGGGAAACUGGGUCUAAUACCGAAUAGGACCACGCGCUUCAUGGUGUGUGGUGGAAAGCUUUUGCGGUGUGGGACGGGCCCGGGGCCUAUCAGCUUGUUGGGGGGGUAAUGAGCUACCAAGGCGGCGAAGGGUAGCCGGGCUGGGAGGGUGACCGGCCACAAUGGGACUGGGAUACGGCCCAGACUCCUACGGGAGGCAGCAGUGGGGAAUAUUGCAAAAUGGGAGCAAGCCUGAUGCAGCGACGCCGCGUGAGGGAUGACGGCCUUCGGGUUGUAAACCUCUUUCAGUAGGGACGAAGCGCAAGUGACGGUACCUAUAGAAGAAGGACCGGCCAACUACGUGCCAGCAGCCGCCGUAA